GACGAACGCUGGCGGCGUGCCUAACACAUGCAAGUCGAACGGGACUUAAUGGAAUGCGGCUUCGGCCAAAGGAAGUUAAGUUUAGUGGCGAACGGGUGAGUAACGCGUGAGAAACCUGCCUUUCAGUGGGGGACAACAGUUGGAAACGACUGCUAAUACCGCAUAACAUACACGGACCGCAUGAUCUGUGUAUCAAAGCUUAAUGUGCUGAAAGAUGGUCUCGCGUCUGAUUAGCUAGAUGGCGGGGUAACGGCCCACCAUGGCGACGAUCAGUAGCCGGUCUGAGAGGAUGAACGGCCACAUUGGGACUGAGAUACGGCCCAGACUCCUACGGGAGGCAGCAGUGGGGAAUAUUGGGCAAUGGGCGAAAGCCUGACCCAGCAACGCCGCGUGAGGGAAGAAGGUUUUCGGAUUGUAAACCUCUGUCCUAAGGGAAGAAGGAAGUGACGGUACCUUAGGAGGAAGCCCCGGNUAACUACGUG
rnacentral:rRNA from 1 species